UUCGGGUUAGUGGCGGACGGGUGAGUAACGCGUGAGAAUCUGCCCUCAGGAGGGGGACAACAGCUGGAAACAGCUGCUAAUACCCCAUAUGCCGCGAGGUGAAAUGAAUUUCGCCUGAGGAUGAGCUCGCGUCUGAUUAGCUAGUUGGUGUAGGUAAUGGCUCACCAAGGCAUCGAUCAGUAGCUGGUCUGAGAGGAUGAUCAGCCACACUGGGACUGAGACACGGCCCAGACUCCUACGGGAGGCAGCAGUGGGGAAUUUUCCGCAAUGGGCGAAAGCCUGACGGAGCAACGCCGCGUGAGGGAUGAAGGCCUCUGGGCUGUAAACCUCUUUUAUCAAGGAAGAAGAUCUGACGGUACUUGAUGAAUAAGCCACGGCUAAUUCCGUGCCAGCAGCCGCGGUAAUACGGGAGUGGCAAGCGUUAUCCGGAAUUAUUGGGCGUAAAGCGUCCGCAGGCGGCCCUUCAAGUCUGCUGUUAAAAAGUGGAGCUUAACUCCAUCAUGGCAGUGGAAACUGUUGGGCUUGAGUGUGGUAGGGGCAGAGGGAAUUCCCGGUGUAGCGGUGAGAUGCGUAGAUAUCGGGAAGAACACCAGUGGCGAAGGCGCUCUGCUGGGCCAUCACUGACGCUCA
rnacentral:rRNA from 1 species